UAGAGGCAUUAGCUCCUUUCUAUUGUUAUUAACUAGCUCAGUGCCAUGUGAAUCAUCUAUUUCUUCUCCACUAGAGGCAUUAGCUCCUUUCUAGGGUUAUUAACUAGCUCAGUGCCAUGUGAAUCAUCUAUUUCUUCUCCACUAGAGGCAUUGGGUCCUUUCUAGGGUUAUUAACUAGCUCACUGCCAUGUGAAUCAUCUAUUUCUUCUCCACUAGAGGCAUUAGCUCCUUUCUAGGCUUAGGAACUAGUCACUACUAUAUAUUGAUCGCACAGUCCUUAUAGGACUUCCUUUGUAUUCACUGCAGCAGAGCUAAGGGGUGUCUGUGUUACUAAUAACCUGCAAUCACAUCUGUGUGUGUGGGAGAGAGUUGGAAGAUCAAAUCUGAUGCUCAGGAUCAUUUCUCUGGCUGCUUCUUACUAACGAUUUCAUACCAUAAUGGCACAGAGGCAAUUUCAUGUAUAAAUACCCCCAGAAUUCAUAACAGAAUGGCAGAGGGAUGCCGAUGCUUUAACAUUGGAGGGGGGGUGAGGAGGAAUCUGCAGAUGCCAACCAGAAGCAACUUUUCAGCAUGUCCUCACCAACAAAGCCCUGUGCGUGAGCAGUGAUACACAUUUACAGAGAAGGACAGGGCAUGCAGGCCGGGGCCCUAGGCAACCCAGCCAGCCGUGACGCCCCUCCGCCACACAUGUGCACUGACCGCACGCAUAGGAGGCGCGCACAUGCGUACUAACCGGCUGCGUCCACCUCUCCAGGUACGCUCUCCCCUCAUGUACGCGCAUGCGCACAAACAGGCACAUGGAGUGGAGAAGAGCGGCACUCACUCAGCCGGACAUUGGGUAGGUAGCAGUGAAAGGUACGUACCUGGCGCCCCUCAAGCUUUGCACCCUAGGCACUUGCCUACUCUGUCUACCCCUAGUUCCAUCCCUGAUGGGCGGGGCUAUUUGCUGAUGUCAUCUUGAUGCCUCGUCACGUUAGGGUCCUUCUCAGUGCUGCUCUUCUCCCCACCCUGCUUUACAUGUACACCCUUCCCUUGAAAAAAAAUGUAUCUAAUCCAAUAUUCCACAGAUUCUCUUUCUUACCACCCCCCUCUGUGCUAUAACGAGUAGAAUGAGCAAGCUGGUGAGUAAAAGAGCCUGUGAAGGAAGGGGAGCAAGAGCCAGGGAGGGAGAGAGCUGGUAAGGGAGAGGAACUGAGAGCCGGGAGGGGGAGGGAGAGUCAGAGAGGGAAGAAGAUACCUUUGAAGCAAGCAAUAAAAAUGACAAAUAUAUAUAUAUAUUGGUAGUGCUGCUACAAUAAUUCUCAUGAUAGUGUAAACACCCCUCAUUCAUUUUUUAACAACCCCCUGCAACCAAUUUGUCUUUAUCUAUAAGUCCAAAUGUAAAAAAUGAGUCUGGGAUUGAAGUUCCCCCAAAGUCCAGCAACUUCUUUUAGGGCCCUCCUCUGCCCAUACAAAAGCUUCACAGAAAUAAACUUUCUGUUAUCUCCCCUCCCCUCUGAGGGAUACAGCAACAUCAUUUAUUUCUGUGUUGUCUUUAUCUAUAUUGGUAUCAAGUAGUAGAAGUCCACAUUUUUUAGUGGAAGUCCACAUACCACAUAGUGGUAAAUCUAUGCAUAUUGAGCAUCAAACUAUUCAGUAGACCUCUUGAUGUCCAUAUAUAGGGUGAUUUUUCUUUGCAUGUAAAACAUUGGGCAUCAAACUAUUCAGUAGACCUCUGACGUCCAUAUUUAGGGGGAUUUUUCUUUGCAUGUAAAACAUUGUAUGAGACAACUGUGGCAAACAUUUUUUAGGCAAUUUUCAGAAAUGUCGUAAAACCUGUAUGUUUAGAAAAGCUUUGCAGUUUGGUAGUUUGGAGUAGAAAGACAUAUUUACCCAUUUUGGAUUUGUCAGAAUCUGUACUUUACAAAGAUAUAUGGUUUUCAGGAAUCACCAUUAUUUCUUCUACCUUUUAUCCCACAUAAAUUGUUUAUAAAUUAGUAUAAAUGUAAACCUUCAUAUAAGUAUGCACAAGGUAGAUUUUGAAGUCUUUACAUGCUAUGUAUUUAUCAAACUGUUUAGAGGACCCCAGACUCUCAUAUUUGGGGUGAUUUAUCUUGGUACCUAAUAGUAUGUGGGAGGUAAGAUGCGGCAGUUUCUACUAAUGCAACUAAUGAUGCAUGGUUCACACAUGAAGAAAUUCAAAAGAGACUAGAACAUGUUAAGAUUAACAAAGGUCC